rnacentral:misc_RNA from 1 species
GGUUUUAACCCAGUUAACCAAG